GGGUGAGUAACACGUGGGUGAUCUGCCCUGCACUCUGGGAUAAGCCUGGGAAACUGGGUCUAAUACCGGAUAGGACCGCACUUUAGUGUGUGUGGUGGAAAGUUUUUUCGGUGUAGGAUGAGCCCGCGGCCUAUCAGCUUGUUGGUGGGGUAAUGGCCUACCAAGGCGGCGACGGGUAGCCGGACUGAGAGGUUGGUCGGCCACAUUGGGACUGAGAUACGGCCCAG
rnacentral:rRNA from 1 species